rnacentral:rRNA from 1 species
GACGAACGCUGGCGGCGUGCUUAACACAUGCAAGUCGAACGAAGAGCGAUGGAAGCUUGCUUCUAUCAAUCUUAGUGGCGAACGGGUGAGUAACGCGUAAUCAACCUGCCCUUCAGAGGGGGACAACAGUUGGAAUCGACUGCUAAUACCGCAUACGAUCUAAUCUCGGCAUCGAGGAUAGAUGAAAGGUGGCCUCUACAUGUAAGCUAUCACUGAAGGAGGGGAUUGCGUCUGAUUAGCUAGUUGGAGGGGUAACGGCCCACCAAGGCGAUGAUCAGUAGCCGGUCUGAGAGGAUGAACGGCCACAUUGGGACUGAGACACGGCCCAGACUCCUACGGGAGGCAGCAGUGGGGAAUCUUCCGCAAUGGACGAAAGUCUGACGGAGCAACGCCGCGUGAGUGAUGACGGCCUUCGGGUUGUAAAGCUCUGUUAAUCGGGACGAAAGGCCUUCUUGCGAAUAGUGAGAAGGAUUGACGGUACCGGAAUAGAAAGCCACGGCUAACUACGUG